rnacentral:rRNA from 1 species
ACUGCUCAGUAACACGUGGAUAACCUACCCAAGAGUCCGGGAUAACCCCGGGAAACUGGGGAUAAUACCGAAUAGAUCAUCCUUCCUGGAAUGGUGGGUGGUUGAAACUUCCGGGGCUUUUGGAUGGGUCUGCGGCUGAUUAGGUUGUUGCCGGUGUAACGUACCGUCAAGCCUGUAAUCAGUACGGGUUGUGGGAGCAAGAGCCCGGAGAUGGAUUCUGAGACACGAAUCCAGGCCCUACGGGGCGCAGCAGGCGCGAAAACUCUACAAUGCAGGCAACUGCGAUAGGGGAACAUCGAGUGAUCCUCAUAUUUGGGGUCUGUCCACCCGCCUAAAAAGCGGGUGUUAGCAAGGGCCGGGCAAGACCGGUGCCAGCCGCCGCGGUAAUACCGGCGGCUCGAGUGGUGGCCGAUAUUAUUGAGUCUAAAGGGUCCGUAGCCGGCUUUGCAAGUCUCUCGGGAAAUCCAGCGGCUUAACCGUUGGUCGUCCGGGGGGUACUACAUUGCUUGGGACUGGGAGAGGUAGGAGGUACUCAAGGGGUAGGAGUGAAAUCCUGUAAUCCUUUGGGGACCACCGGUGGCGAAGGCGUCCUACCAGAACAGGUCCGACGGUGAGGGACGAAAGCUAGGGGCACGAACCGGAUUAAAUACCCGGGUAGUCCUAGCCGUAAACGAUGCUCACUAGGUGUCACAACAGUCGUGAACUGUUGUGGUGCCGUAGGGAAGCCGUGAAGCGAGCCACUUGGGAAGUACGACCGCAAGGUUGAAACUUAAAGGAAUUGGCGGGGGAGCAC